GUCCACUGCAGCACUGGAUGUCACUGGCUACUGAAGACUAUGACUGAUGAUCACUCUUUGAUUCUGGAUGAAGAAGCAGCCUCCUAGGUGUCCGCUAAGUUGGUUUCACUACACAGCGGGAGCUGUGCUCUGUGGUUCCAACCAUGCUCAUGGAGAGGGGGGAUCUGUGAGGAGGAGAGAUCUCCCAGCAGUGGGGGCCCUGUGUGAGAUCCUGGAGGCGUCCCAGGACAGAGUCCUGUAAAGUUAGGGUGGAAUCAGAAGCCUGCAGGCCCUAGGGGAAAUUUACCGAAGAUGAUUUUAUGCCAGCAGGACACAGGCUGGCCUGAGGAAGACUGGAAGAAUAAACCAUUUUGUGCUGUGUGUGGAACACCUUUGUACAAGGCAGCCUUUGGCCGCUGUCUGAUGCACUGUUUAUCGUUGUGGGUCUCAGGAAAAGAAGUUUAUCAUGGUUACAACCCUUCUGUGAAACAGCUAUGAAGGAAUGGAAGUGCAGUGUGCAUGAAGGUUUGUGCAAGUCACUGAGACCAUGGUUACCCUGGAUCACCGGGCUGAGGGCUCAUUCCAACUCUGAAGAUUGCUGUUCUUCAUCUGAAAGUCUGUCAUGCUUCCAAACCUAUCAGCUCAACACUGGGUGGGUCCACAGAGCUCAGGCAAGUCUCAGCUGAGAUCAUCGCAACCCCAAAUGACCUGAGCCCUGGGUAUGCCACCUACCAAGAAGGUGGCAGCUUGGACACUUGUUUCCUGGGCCACAGGGGGCAGGAAGACAGGGUUGGUCUGUGGGACUCUGAAGCUGGCAUUUUAAAGAUGCUGCAGAGGGAAGUCCUGGCCAUGUUUGUUCCACCAUGGCAGGUAUGGUGGGGAGAACAGGAUGGCUCCUCCUGAGCAGAUCUAAGGAUCAGCAAGGGAGAGGUCUUCCCGGGAGGGCGUAGGAGCAUCGUUUAAUGAGGACGAGAGUGUGUGCUCCGGCCAGAGUGGACGGUAGGUGACUGAGGUGCUCCUCUCCAACUGGGUCAUCCUCACCAGGCUCUGUGAGUGGGAUCAUCUGAAGCUCAGUGUCCUCACUCUGGAAAUGACAACACUGCCUUCCUCGCCACCUCCAGGGUCCUUAUGGGACCCCUAGGAGUGAAGGUGAUUUGAAGGUGUGCUUUGUUCUGGCAACGAAGGCAGGGUUCUUCUAAGAGGUGGAUCGUUAGGACUGGAGGUGGGCAUGGCAGCCCUGCAUGCAGCAAGGUCGCCUGAAGCCACAGCAACCCCAGGG
rnacentral:lncRNA from 1 species